GAGAAGACGUAGCAAAAUGCGAUAAGUAAUGUGAAUUGCAGAAUUCAGUGAAUCAUCGAAUCUUUGAACGCACAUUGCGCCCGCCAGUAUUCUGGCGGGCAUGCCUGUUCGAGCGUCAUUUCAACCCUCAAGCUCAGCUUGGUGUUGGGACUCGCGGUAACCCGCGUUCCCCAAAUCGAUUGGCGGUCACGUCGAGCUUCCAUAGCGUAGUAAUCAUACACCUCGUUACUGGUAAUCGUCGCGGCCACGCCGUAAAACCCCAACUUCUGAAUGUUGACCUCGGAUCAGGUAGGAAUACCCGCUGAACUUAAGCAUAUCAAUAAGCGGAGGA
rnacentral:misc_RNA from 1 species